UACGAAGGGUGCAAGCGUUACUCGGAAUUACUGGGCGUAAAGCGUGCGUAGGUGGUUCGUUAAGUCUGAUGUGAAAGCCCUGGGCUCAACCUGGGAAUGGCAUUGGAAACUGGCGACCUAGAGUGCGGUAGAGGGUAGUGGAAUUCCCGGUGUAGCAGUGAAAUACGUAGAGAUCGGGAGGAACAUCCGUGGCGAAGGCGACUACCUGGACCAGCACUGACACUGAGGCACGAAAGCGUGGGGAGCAAACAGG
rnacentral:rRNA from 1 species